rnacentral:lncRNA from 1 species
UUUGAUCAAAAGUAUGAAUACAGUUCUAAUAUUAUGCCAUUUAUUCAACUCACUUAAUGCACAUUUUUCAACAUAAAAAUUCAAUAUAAAACAGAUUCAUUCAUUGCAUUGUUCCAGGAAUGUAAUACCUUUGAAACACAUGUUCUAUCACAAGGAAUAAUUUUCAAGGAAUCAAGUAACGUACGUUUAAAUAAGUCAAUACAAUGUGAUGUUGUUAUAGUAUUUCCUAUUGUUAGUUGCUGGACUAGAAUUUCUUCGUCGUAUCCACUGAAUGGUCCUUUAGUAAAUAUAAUGUAAUACAAGAGAACACCGAGAUUCCAUAAGUCUGCUAAUAUGGCAUCGUGAACAAUCCCACGUAUAACUUCCGGGGAACAAAAUAGUUUAUUUCAAAGAAAAUCAUCGCACAACAACGGUUUCCCGGCUGAGGACAUACAUUUCAUAAAAAUUUCAUAUUUUAAUUGUUCUGUUUCUUAAUAGCAAUACAUUACUAGGGGUAAUGUCUCUAUGUGCAAUGUAAUUAUGAUGACAAAAAUCUACUGCUUUUAAGAUUUGAAUGAAAAUAUCAACAACCAAUGUAUUACAUAAAGUUUUAUGUUCAGAAAUAAAAUCUUCAAGAUUUCCCCCGUCCGCAUAUUCCAUUAUAAUAUUCACUUCUUCACUUUUCACUAGAACUUCUCGAAAAGAUAUAAUGUUCUCAUGUCUCAAAGAAGAUAAACUAGCUAUUUCGUUUUUAAUAUACAUGUACGUUUGCUCAUUUAAAUUCCCCUUGAAUUUCAAAUAUUUAAGAACAAGGAUUUCAUUUGUACUUGGCGAACUUACUUUAUAGAUUUCUCCAAACCCACCAUCACUUAUUUUACAAAUAACGUUGUAAGGUUUUCUUUCCAUUCAAUAAAUUCAAAUCUAACUUCCGAAUGUUGAUGUGGCUGUU